rnacentral:lncRNA from 1 species
GUUCUGCCCAGCAGGUUUCUUCCAAUAAAUCAAAGGGCUUAAGAUCCAAAGGGCAUUUAACCAUUAGAGAGCAAGUGUUCACUGUGGUCUGUAGCAGCUAAAUAUGAUGAAUUUAAUAUUGAUUUUCACAUAUAACCUCAUUCAUGUAUUGCAUUUGUGUGAUUUUACAUGAGAAUACACUGGAACAAAUUCUCAGCUGGGUGAUGAGAAACAAAAACUGUGAAAUUAGUAAGAUUUCUGCCAUUCUUGUGAUAAGCUGUUUCCCCAUGGUGAGUACAGAGAAGUCAUUAAAAUUGAGAAAAUAUGCAAAGUGCUACACUUAAAUUCAGAUUGCUCCAUUCAUUGUGGAAUAUGGAUCCACAAUUACUCACAGAGAUAAGUCUAGUGGCUUCAGUUGGGUUGCUUCAGUGAGUAACACUCACCAAUGGUAAGAAAAUCUCAGCAGUCCAAAAAGUCAUUAGGUUAUUCUAUUAUUAUUAUUAUUAUUAUUAUUAUUAUUAUUAUUAUUAUUAUUAUUGAAAGUGAUGAUAAAAAAUGGACCCAGGAAUAAGAGGUAUGCUAAUCUGGAGAAGGUUCCUAAUGUUACACUGGUUGGAAAAUUCUCAAAUUCUCAGAUUACAGGCAUUGGUGGUUAAUGGGGUUAUGUUAACUAGAGACCUCCCAUUCAUGAUCCUGCAGUGAAAUGCAAGGCUAUACUCUUUUUUUUUUUUUUUUUCCAAAAAUAUCUCAAUGAUUUAGAUUUGUGCCCAUCGAUUUCACCCAGUCACAGGUUUAAAAAUAUCUAACACAUAUUUAAACACUAGGCCUGCACAUAAGUUGUUUUACAAUUUUUUCACACGUAUAUGUAAUUCUUUAAAACUUUUCAGUGUCCUAGUUUGGGAUUACACCUACCAUAGCUAAAAGCAGGUAUCAAAUAUACCUCACUAUAUUAAAUAACACACUUCUCUGCAAACUGUGUGCAUAGUUUUAAUAGGACUUUAAUGUGUAUACCCUAUAGACCAGGCACAGAAACAGAUACAAAAUGUGGUGAUUGGCAAAUUACAGAACUAAAUUUAACCAGAUCAUAAUGGUAUCAUUUUAUGCUCACUUACAAAGACAAAUUUAGACAGAAAAAAAUGUGCAGUCCUCUUGUCUCAGACGUACUCCAAAUCUUCAUAGAAAGUUGCUAUCAUCUUAGGAAAUACUGGGUAACCAGGUGACUUUAGAACACAAGUACCGUGUGUAAACAAACAGGUAUCUUUAUAACUGAAUAUAAUUUCACAGCAACAUAUAGUGUAAAUGCUGAUUAAAUUUCACAGAGUUUACCUGGGAAAGUCCCUGAAUAGAAAUUAUUAACUCUAGUUAUGCCACAGUAUUAGGUUUUGAUUAAAAAAAAAAAAAUAAAAAUAAAAAAAAAAUGUUUAUGUCA